ACAACAAAGUCAUACAUUUUCUUGAUUUAAAAUCAAAAUGUAGGAUUCCCAACAGCGAAUUGGUCAAUUAUCUUAAAAUUAGUGCAUCUCUCUUGAAAAAUGUAUUAUGCAUACUUGAAUAACAUUAACUCCAGAGAACCUCUUGACUCUAGAGAACCUCGGGCAAAUCGCACAUUUCCGUGACGGCGACUUUGCAUUCGGAUGUCAUCCAUACCUACCAUGGUGACCACGGGUAACGGGAAUCAGGGUUCCAUUCCGUACAGGGAACCUGAGAAAUGGCUACCACAUGCAAGGAAGGCAGCAGGCGCUCAAAUGACCCACUCCCGACACGGGAAGGUAGUGAU